UCAUGGGGAGACUCCGAAGAAUAGAGCACAUAUCAUCUGGUGACCUGGAACAUAGUCAAUCAACCAACCAGUGAGAAAUGGUAGCUUAGGGACCCUUUGUUUGUAAAGCAGCAAUGUAUAUUUCUCUCUUGUAGGAGCUCCCAGUGAUGGAAGGUCAUAGCAAAAUUGGCAUUGCAUUCAAUGUAAGGUGGGUAUAGGCACCAUCAACUAUAGCCCCUGGAGGUAAAUUGGUAAGAAUUGGAGAUAUGUCCUUGAGGCUUCUCAGUCUGAGGCAUUGAAUGACAAUCACAUUCAGUUUUGGCUUGAUCCUUUGUGUUUAAUUCAUCCUUCAGAGAACUCCUUUUCCUCUAUUUUUGUUGUUGUUAG
rnacentral:lncRNA from 1 species